rnacentral:snoRNA from 1 species
AGACCAUGAUGAGGACAUUUCCUCAAUAGCUCCUUGAAUCUUUCCCAAGUUUCAUAUAAGGAUUCCCGUUCUCUUGUGAGUUGUGAGUAU